GACGAACGCUGGCGGCGUGCUUAACACAUGCAAGUCGAACGGAAAGGCCCUGCUUUUGUGGGGUGCUCGAGUGGCGAACGGGUGAGUAACACGUGAGUAACCUGCCCUUGACUUUGGGAUAACUUCAGGAAACUGGGGCUAAUACCGGAUAGGAGCUCCUGCUGCAUGGUGGGGGUUGGAAAGUUUCGGCGGUUGGGGAUGGACUCGCGGCUUAUCAGCUUGUUGGGGGGGUAGUGGCUUACCAAGGCUUUGACGGGUAGCCGGCCUGAGAGGGUGACCGGCCACAUUGGGACUGGGAUACGGCCCAGACUACUACGGGAGGCAGCAGUGGGGAAUAUUGCACAAUGGGCUGAAGCCUGAUGCAGCCACGCCGCGUGCGGGAUGACGGCCUUCGGGUUGUAAUCCGCUUUCGCCUGUGACGAAGCGUGAGUGACGGUAAUGGGUAAAGAAGCACCGGCUAACUACGUG
rnacentral:rRNA from 1 species